GAUGAACGCUGGCGGCGUGCCUAAUACAUGCAAGUCGAGCGAACAGACGAGGAGCUUGCUCCUCGGACGUUAGCGGCGGACGGGUGAGUAAUAAGUGGAGAACCUACCUAUAAGACUGGGAUAACUUCGGGAAACCGGAGCGAAUACCGGGUAAUAUAUUGAACCGCAUGGUUGAAUAGUGAAAGACGGUUUUGCUGUCACUGGUAGAUGGAUCCGCGCCGCAUUAGCUAGUUGGUAAGGUAACGGCUUACCAAGGCGACGAUGCGUAGCCGACCUGAGAGGGUGAUCGGCCACACUGGAACUGCGACACGGUCCAGACUCCUACGGGAGGCAGCAGUAGGGAAUCUUCCGCAAUGGGCGAAAGCAUGACGGAGCAACGCCGCGUGAGUGAUGAAGGUCUUCGGAUCGUAAAACUCUGUUAUUAGGGAAGAACAAAUGUGUAAGUAACUAUGCACGUCUUGACGGUACCUAAUCAGAAAGCCACGGCUAACUACGUG
rnacentral:rRNA from 1 species